rnacentral:lncRNA from 1 species
AGAGAAAAAAACAAAACCAGAACUGUGCUAGGCAUGAGCAUGCACCCUGUAAUUCCAGUGCUCCAGAGGAUCUGAGUUCAAGGCCAGUCUGAACUACUAAGCAAGACUUUGCCUGAAAAGGAGGCAGGCAGAGUGGAAGAGGAAAAACACAGGCCCGUCACUCCAUCCUUCACAUUUCAACACAGAAGGAAAUAUGGAAAACUAAAUGGAAACCAGGCCAGGCCCACAAGCAGAUGAGAUAAAUACAGAGCUUGGCCAGGAAACAACCCCACAGCAUCUGGUAGUCUGUUCAGCACCCUGCCCCCUC